AACGAACGCUGGCGGCAGGCCUAACACAUGCAAGUCGAGCGAGGUAGCAAUACCUAGCGGCGGACGGGUGAGUAACGCGUGGGAACGUACCCUUUGCUACGGAAUAGCCUCGGGAAACUGGGAGUAAUACCGUAUGUGCCCCUUCGGGGGAAAGAUUUAUCGGCAAAGGAUCGGCCCGCGUCGGAUUAGGUAGUUGGUGGGGUAAUGGCCUACCAAGCCUACGAUCCAUAGCUGGUUUGAGAGGAUGAUCAGCCACACUGGGACUGAGACACGGCCCAGACUCCUACGGGAGGCAGCAGUGGGGGAAUCUUAGACAAUGGGCGCAAGCCUGAUCUAGCCAUGCCGCGUGAGUGACGAAGGCCUUAGGGUUGUAAAGCUCUUUCAGCUGGGAAGAUAAUGACGGUACCAGCAGAAGAAGCCCCGGCUAACUCCGUG
rnacentral:rRNA from 1 species